rnacentral:rRNA from 1 species
CAGUCGAACGGAGCUGCUUUGAUGAAGUUUUCGGAUGGAUUUAAAACAGCUUACUGGCGGACGGGUGAGUAACGCGUGGGUAACCUGCCUCACACUGGGGGAUAACAGUUAGAAAUAGCUGCUAAUACCGCAUAAGCGCACGGUUCCGCAUGGAACAGUGUGAAAAACUCCGGUGGUGUGAGAUGGACCCGCGUCUGAUUAGCCAGUUGGCGGGGUAACGGCCCACCAAAGCGACGAUCAGUAGCCGGCCUGAGAGGGUGAACGGCCACAUUGGGACUGAGACACGGCCCAAACUCCUACGGGAGGCAGCAGUGGGGAAUAUUGCACAAUGGGGGAAACCCUGAUGCAGCGACGCCGCGUGAGUGAAGAAGUAUUUCGGUAUGUAAAGCUCUAUCAGCAGGGAAGAAAGUGACGGUACCUGAAUAAGAAGCCCCGGCUAACUACGUGCCAGCAGCCGCGGUAAUACGUAGGGGGCAAGCGUUAUCCGGAUUUACUGGGUGUAAAGGGAGCGUAGACGGCAAGGCAAGUCUGAAGUGAAAGCCCGGUGCUUAACGCCGGGACUGCUUUGGAAACUGUUUAGCUGGAGUGCCGGAGAGGUAAGCGGAAUUCCUAGUGUAGCGGUGAAAUGC